UGGCACCCAACGUGGGGCAUGAGAACGGGGACUUCAUGAGGGCCACUGUUCGUGGGCCCAAAGUAGAAAAAAGGAAAAGAAAAUAGAGGACCUGGUGAUGUGGGACCCUGCACUGAACCUUGGUAAGUGAACAGCGAUUAUGGGACAAGAAAUUAGCCAGCAUGAGAUUUUUGUUGAAAAUUUAGUAAAAGCUUUAAAGACGUGUGGGGUAAAGGAAAAAUUAAGCAAUUGUGUCCAUUAGGGCUUAAUAAAUUUUAUCU
rfam:Cavia porcellus supercont2_13 genomic scaffold, whole genome shotgun sequence.